GCACAUAAGCCACGAGGAGGAGCUUUACGACUUCCCGGUCUUCGGCGCCGGGCGCAGCAAGGGCCAGACUCUGCGCUAGCAGGCGCUGCGCGCCAACCGGCCGGCACCUGUCGCAGAAGGUGCAACCGAUCGCACUGUCGCGCAGAAGCUCCUCAAUGGCCAGCGCCAGCUGCAGCCCCGGCCGCCCACUCGCCUCAUCUGAGCCUGGGCAAAUCUGGAUUGGGAAAGUUGACAUUAAUCAACUCAUUAUUCCUCACAGAUUUGUAUUCUCCAGAGUAUCCAGGUCCUUCUCAGAGAAUUAAAAAGCCUGUACAGCGCUGCUCUAAGCUGUUGAUGAAAAAUAUUGUUGGUGAGCUCUGCUUAGGUAAUAUAUAGGACAUGAGCAGAGAGGAGGCACGUGAACAGUUCUGGCCUGGAGUAGGCUUCAUUGAGGCUGUGAUGCUUUUAGCUGGAUUUGAAGAAGUGGUAGUGAUCAUCCCAGUGCACAGGAUAGGUGGACAGUCUAUGUAUUCUGAGCAGUAACUCAUAUAUCUCAUACUGCAAGACCCCAAAGGAGUAAUUUUGUGAACUCUGUUCACGGAAAGGGCCUGGGAGCUGCAACACCUCAACAGCAACAAGCACACCUGCUACCUAGAACUUGGUUUCUAAAAACCAUCCUCCUCUAAAAGGAAACAGAGCUCUUUGAAGAAACGGUAAUUUCAAAGCUAGAGCACAGAAAGUAUAAGAUGAGCCCAGAAUAUCUUUUUGUACAAGAAAGUAAGGCAAUGCUCAAAGAAUGAUGGAGACAUGCCCAAAAAAAGCAGAGAAGCCAACUUGAAAAGAUUCCAACAGGCCAAAUAUGGGGCGAUUUGAAC
rnacentral:lncRNA from 10 species